rnacentral:rRNA from 1 species
CGGGUGAGUAAUGUAUGGGGAUCUGCCUGAUGGCGGGGGAUAACUACUGGAAACGGUAGCAAUACCGCAUAAUGUCUGCGGACCAAAGCGGGGGACCGUCCGGGCCUCGCGCCAUCAGAUGAACCCAUAUGGGAUUAGCUUGUAGGUAAGGUAACGGCUUACCUAGGCGACGAUCCCUAGCUGGUCUGAGAGGAUGAUCAGCCACACUGGGACUGAGACACGGCCCAG